GCUCAGAGAAGGCCCCUGCCCAGGAAGCGGGAAAGCAGAGCUCCCGCGAGGCCCUCCGGGAGGCGGCAACGCAGGGCUCCCGGGACACCACCCAGGGCCGGGUCACCCUCUUAUGAAGGCAUUUCCGCCUGGGAUUUCUCAGUUACAAACUGCUGCACUGAAUUUCUACUUGCACCUUUGUGUCCACGUUGGAAUAUUUCUAAAGGAGAGCUUCCUAGAAUUGGAAUUGCUAGGUUAAAGAAUGAGCAACUUUACAACUGUUAUAUUGCCAAACUUCCCUACAAGAUGGCCAUACCACUUUAUCUUCUCAUUACAUGCUUUACAGAAUGUUUUAAUAUCUGAGAAGACAAGCCUACUCUCACUGUUCAAUUGGAAGUCUUGGUCCUUUGUUUUUC
rnacentral:lncRNA from 1 species